rnacentral:rRNA from 1 species
GAUGAACGCUGGCGGCGUGCCUAAUACAUGCAAGUCGAGCGAACAGACGAGGAGCUUGCUCCUCUGACGUUAGCGGCGGACGGGUGAGUAACACGUGGAUAACCUACCUAUAAGACUGGGAUAACUUCGGGAAACCGGAGCUAAUACCGGAUAAUAUAUUGAACCGCAUGGUUCAAUAGUGAAAGACGGUUUUGCUGUCACUUAUAGAUGGAUCCGCGCCGCAUGAGCUAGUUGGUAAGGUAACGGCUUACCAAGGCAACGAUGGGUAGCCGACCUGAGAGGGUGAUCGGCCACACUGGAACGGAGACACGGUCCAGACUCCUACGGGAGGCAGCAGUAGGGAAUCUUCCGCAAUGGGCGAAAGCCUGACGGAGCAACGCCGCGUGAGUGAUGAAGGUCUUCGGAUCGUAAAACUCUGUUAUUAGGGAAGAACAAAUGUGUAAGUAACUAUGCACGUCUUGACGGUACCGAAUCAGAAAGCCACGGCUAACUACGUG